UAGGGAAUCUUCGGCAAUGGACGAAAGUCUGACCGAGCAACGCCGCGAGAGUGAAGAAGGUUUUCGGAUCGUAAAACUCUGUUGUUAGAGAAGAACAAGGAUGAGAGUAAAACGUUCAUCCCUUGACGGUAUCUAACCAGAAAGCCACGGCUAACUACGUGCCAGCAGUCGCGGUAAUACGUAGGUGGCAAGCGUUGUCCGGAUUUAUUGGGCGUAAAGCGAGCGCAGGCGGUUUCUUAAGUCUGAUGUGAAAGCCCCCGGCUCAACCGGGGAGGGUCAUUGGAAACUGGGAAACUUGAGUGCAGAAGAGGAGAGUAGAAUUCCAUGUGUAGCGGUGAAAUGCGUAGAUAUAUGGAGGAACACCAGUGGCGAAGGCGGCUCUCUGGUCUGUAACUGACGCUGAGGCUCGAAAGCGUGGGGAGCAAACA
rnacentral:rRNA from 1 species